UACGAAGGGUGCAAGCGUUAAUCGGAAUUACUGGGCGUAAAGGGUGCGUAGGCGGUUAGUUAAGUCUGUUGGGAAAUCCCCGGGCUCAACCUGGGAAUGGCAAUGGAUACUGGCUAGCUAGAGUGUGUCAGAGGAUGGUGGAAUUCCCGGUGUAGCGGUGAAAUGCGUAGAGAUCGGGAGGAACAUCAGUGGCGAAGGCGGCCAUCUGGGACAACACUGACGCUGAAGCACGAAAGCGUGGGGAGCAAACAGG
rnacentral:rRNA from 1 species